rnacentral:snoRNA from 1 species
AACCCAUGAUUUGGGUAUUUUCUCAGCUUCACUUUGAAUGUCUCCCAUGUUUCAUAGAAGGCUUCAUUUUAUCCUUGUCUGAACAUAGAAAUAUUAGACUUUGCUU